CAGCAGAUGCAGAAUCUGCUGCUAAAGUUAGCUCCCGAGAACAGGGCUGGAUGGGCUGCCAUCACAGAUGUCUCUGGAGCCAGCACCCGAGACAAAUAUAAUUCUUACCCCUGGAAAGCAAGGCUCCAUGCUAGAGCUUCUCACCCCGGUGGAGGGGUUAAAGGGAGGUGUGAAGGCAGAUUUAGGACCCCAAAUGCCGACUUCUCUGUGAUUCCUGAGAAUAACGGAUGAUUUUGAAGCCACAAGGCUCCUAGGAAACAAUGCACCACGUCUGAAAGCAACCAGCAUGCAAGUGAGAGAUUUCUCCCCGCUGAAACAUCCACCCCGUGAGGCAGACUGUGCAAUCUCCAGACCCAGGAGGAAAACAACAAGUUUGGUGAGGAUAUAGAGAAACCAGGACCCUUGUUCCUUGCUGGUAGAAAUGUAAAAUGGUUUAACCACUGAUGAAAACAGUCUGGCAGUUCAUCAAAAAGUUAAACAGUACUGCUAUAAGAUACAAGUCUACAGCCAGGUCUCUGGGAAGUUUCCUGAUCCCCUCAAUGGAAUCCUGCAGUGCAUGUCUAUGCCAUCUUGCAGGACAUGGUGACUGUCUCCUCCUCAGCUCCCCUGCAACUCCUUCAUGUUCAUAAGACCUUACAGGCAUGGUUCACUUGGAGCCCUGCUCACUACUCGAACCCCAGAAUCUGGCACAUA